UUUUACGAGAGACGGAAACGGAAAAUGAUCUGAAAUCGUUCUCACGUUUCUAUCUCGUUCGUGCAUACAUGCUUUUCGAUGGUACGAAGUUAUCUCGACAUUCGAGACGUAACGAGAAAACGAUAGACAAUGAAAGAGUUCGAUGAUAAAAUUUUCGGCGGAUAGUCUCGCGCGACUGCGAGAACAAUUCAUCGUAAAUCUCCAUAGAUUUCGUGAGAGGCGGCAACAUGCAAUAAAGGUGAAGCCGCGGAUGUAUAGGUUAGGUUACGCAUAAAUUCCGGUGUGUCUCUUUCCACAAGAUUUGGCAAGAUCCCGAAUUUCGCGGUUGUGAUUGUUCGCGAUUACGCGUUCACGGCUCUCCUAACUCUUCCUUCCUUUUCCUCCACGAACGACAAACUUGCACCAUCGUCGCGUCAGGAAUCUCCUUCGAGUGAAUCAAGAACGGAAUUACGGAAGUUCGAUUUAGAUCAGUUUAGAGGUUAAAUUCGCCUCGCAUGAGCUUUCCGAUAUACGGAUCAUACGGGUGUCCAAGAUCGAGAUUCGAUCUUCUGAUUGAAUCUGAGAAGAUCGUCCAGAGAACAAGACAACUAUUUUUCCUUCGUUAAUACUUCAAUAUCGAACGGUUCAGAGUGAGAAGUCAAGGAUUAAUAUUUAAUUGGACUCCCUCUGCUAAAGUAUGUUCGUAGAAUGUCGACUUGGGAGAUACGCGACCAGUGCCUGAAGUCCUGAAAUCCAUCCACUGAAAUUCCUGAAGCGCGUCGUGCGAUUUGAAGAGGUUCUAGAUUUAGGAAUACACAAAGAAACUGCAAUAACGAGAUGCGUUCGACCCAUGUUGCGCUGUACGCUUUCCGGUUGACACUGAAUCAGGGAGCCAGCCCAGCUUUUUACAGGACCAAGAACUUCGAUCGUGGUACGGCGACGUCCGCAAUCUUCCUCGCGACCUUUGGAUUGUCUAUGAGCAUGUUCUCGUUGAAACAGAUGCAGUCGUCGCAUCAGCGUCGUCUGCGAAGACUCUGUUAGAAACGUCCUAUUAGUCAUAAUUCAUCAAUAAACAAAAUCAACAGUCAUCUUGAAGAAAUAAAUCCAUCGAUUAUGAAAAUAUGUCUGCGCGACAUCAUAGCGGUCGUAUUUAUUGUUCUGAAGUCAGCAUGCGGCAUAUAUUGGGUUGAGCUAUUAUAUUUUUUCGCGUCUAGAGUGUGAGCUUGCGGUUUGUACCUAUGUUGUAUUAGGUAAUUUACAAUUCCGAACAAAUUUCGUGGCAUGUUUCUCUAUUAAACGUACGCAAACAACUCGUGUUUGAAGGAUCAUGUCCUCGAUUCGCAGACGCGCAUACAAGACCGCGUGUUUCAAUUACGUAGAAUUCAGUACUUGGUACAGAUCGAGGUUACAAACAAAAUGGAGUUUUCGUCGAAGACAGCAUCGCUUUCAAGCGAGACGUGUGUGCUUCAUGAAUCGAGUGUAGUAGCUUUUUUCUCUAGAAACAAUAACAAAAAAUAAAGAUAGCUCAUCACAUGAGAAGAGAUAUUCUAGUCGUGUGAGCAAACGAGAAAUGAUGCAGCGAAUACAUUUUUACACGAAUUCUUUCCGAGAAAACUUUUACUGCCGGUGAUCGAUAUAUCAUAAAACAGAUUGCUCGUAUUAUUUUGCACCACGAUUUAACUUAGCUUAUCGAUUGUUUUCGAAAAUAGUUCCUUCUAGUGUAUAGUUGCAACUAUUGAAGCAAUGUUAUUUGAUUUUAUGAUAUAUCGUACGUCAUUUCGUUGAUAUUAAACAGAAACUAAAAGGAAAAAUCACAUCAAAAAAACAUUAUAAUUUACUGUGUGUCAUUAAGUAAUGAUUGAUUCAUAAAAACUAUAUUUAUAAAUACAAUUACAAAUUAGAAUUAAAUUACAAAUUAGAAUUAAAUUUCCUGUUUGUAUCAUGAAAUCACUUACAAUCAGCAUGCUCAAAAGUAGAGCGUUUAUUAUAAAUCAGUUCUGAACGAGUUUUCUUUGGAAAGACGGCAACUGCGUACGAGCCAAAGAGUUUCACUGAACGACGAAUCCGCGAACUUUCAUAGUUGAGAAGAUUUUAAUGUUAUUAGAAUCGAGUCAUAAACUUAACUUAAUAAUUCAUCAAUUAAGUAUCGUUGAUAAUUGCUCGUCCGUUUUUGUCACUCCAAAGUCGCACUGAAUUUCUGUUAUUGAACCUGAAGCACAAAGUGGUUAAUAGUUGUAUUCAAUUUAUGUCACUGCAUUUUAUUACCACAGUUGCUCUUCGCAAAUCUCAUCACAAGACGAUUGCAUGAAACUCAAUUUAAACUCUCCUCCAUGUUUUUGACAAAUUAAAAUGAGAUUUUAGUAAAAUUCUUUCUUGCUACUCGAUGUUAUUUUUUAUUUUACACGACAAAUACAUUACUGUGCUAUGAUUGCUCUAUAAAAUAUAUGUACACAUAUCUCUCUGUGUCAUUAUCAUACAUCUGUAUAUUAGGAUGUAUUGGAUCUAUUUCGGAGCAUUUGUAAGAUUGAUCAUUGUUUUUAAUAAAACGUUGAUUCAAUUGGC
rnacentral:misc_RNA from 1 species